CGGAGAGCCAGCUCGAUCAGCAUGCAGCCUCGGAGGCCGGACGAAAUGCAGUCGUUCCAGAAGGACGUGUAGCCCUGAGGAGAAGGAGGGGAGGGAGGAAUUACAGCAGAGAAAAAGGUCAUCUGCGCUCCCUCUGACGGCGAUGGAGAUCUGGGGUGAACGAGGAGCCUGCGAUGGCUCCCCUGAGCUUUCACGGAGGCCCCCCAUAUUGGAGCCAUUUCCUGUCUCGGGAGUGGGCAAAAGGCUUGACCCCAGGUGCCCCCUCCCUGUGGCCCGAGAGGAAGUCUGGAACAAUGGGACCCCUCCUCAGGUCCCGCGUGCCGCCGCCGAGCAACCCGACGUACAUGUAAGCCACACGUGUGUUUCAUGUUGGCCGGUGCACAGACAUGCGUGCGGUCCAGACGCA